rnacentral:rRNA from 1 species
AACGAACGCUGGCGGCGUGCUUAACACAUAGCAAGUCGAACGCGAAAGGGACUUCGGUCCUGAGUAAAGUGGCGCACGGGUGAGUAACGCGUAGAUAACCUGUCUUCAUGUCUGGAAUAAUACGCCAAAGGGGUACUAAUACCGGAUAUUCUUGCUUUUCAUAAGUUAUGCAAGCAAAGGUGGCCUCUGCAUAUGCUACUGCAUGAAGAGGGGUCUGCGUACCAUUAGCUAGUAGGUGGGGUAAUGGCCUACCUAGGCGACGAUGGUUAGCGGGUCUGAGAGGAUGAUCCGCCACACUGGCACUGGAACACGGGCCAGACUCCUACGGGAGGCAGCAGUGAGGAAUAUUGCGCAAUGGGGGAAACCCUGACGCAGCGACGCCGCGUGAGUGAGGAAAAGGCCUUCGGGUCGUAAAGCUCUGUCAAGAGGAAAGAAGUGUACAAUGGCUAAUACCUGUUGUAUUUGACGGCACCUCUAAAGGAAGCACCGGCUAACUCCGUGCCAGCCGCUGC